GUGGCUAUGGGGCCAGGAUAUUCAGCUCACAAUUAAAAGGCUGUGGCUUCAAUUCCCAGUGGCACAUUGUGUCCUUGAGCAAGACACUUUAUUUCUCAUUGCACCAGUCCACUUAGUUGGCAAAAAUGAGUUGUACCUAUUAUUCAAAGAGACCG